rnacentral:rRNA from 1 species
GAUGAACGCUAGCGGCAGGCUUAAUACAUGCAAGUUGAGGGGCAGCAUGAUAUACGCGAGUAUAUUGAUGGCGACCGGCGGACGGGUGAGUAAUAGGUAGGAGACCUACCUCAUACAGGGGGAUAGCAUAGAGAAAUCUGUGGUAAUACCCCAUGAGGUUAUAUGAAUAGAGGCAUAUAAUCAAAGCAUAAGCGAUUAUGCGGUAUGAGAGGGGCCUACUGACCAUUAGCUAGUUGGUGAGGUAAGGGCUCACCAAGGCGAAGAUGGUUAGGGGUUUUGAGAGAGAGACCCCCCACAUUGGAACUGAGAGACGGUCCAGACUCCUACGGGAGGCAGCAGUAGGGAAUAUUGGGCAAUGGGCGAAAGCCUGACCCAGCCAUGCCGCGUGAAGGAAGACGGCCUUAUGGGUUGUAAACUUCUUUACUACGCGAAUAGAGGUUGGUACGAGAUACUAAUAGGAAGGUAGUGUAGUAAAAAGCACCGGCUAACUCCGUG